GAUGAACGCUGGCGGCGUGCCUAAUACAUGCAAGUCGAGCGAACAGACGAGGAUCUUGCGCCGCUGACGUGAGCGGCGGACGUGAGAGAAACACGUGUAAAACCUCCUUAAAAUACGGGUAAAUCUUGGAGAAUCCGGCUCUAAUACGGUAGAAGAUAUUGCACCGUGGUGUGCAUUGGUAAGAUACGGUUUUUGGGGAACUUAUAGAGGUAUCCCCGCCGCAUGGGCGAGUAGUGACGGUAAAGGGUUUCCAAGGGAACGAUGCGUAGCCGACCUGAGAGGGUGAUAGCCCGCAUUGGCACUGAGACACGGUCCAGAGGCCUACGGGAGGCCGCAGUAGGGAAUCUUACGCAAUGGGCGAAAGCAUGACGGAGCAAGGCCGAGUGAGUGACGACGGUGUCCGGAUCGUAAAAAUCUGUUAUUAGGGAAGAACAAAUGUGUCAGUAAAUAUGGACGUAUUGACGGUAACUAAUAAGAAAGCACCGGCUAACUACGUG
rnacentral:rRNA from 1 species